AAUUAUUUAAAAAGAAAUAAGACAGAGUAAAUAAGAAGCAUGAAGAUGGGAAGAGAAGAAUCUGAAGGCUAGCUAUGGGCACACCUCCAACCAGACACUCCUCUGAGCAUCAGAAUACAAUGGUGUGGAUUUGGCCUCACAUCCCACUACACAGCUGUUGCCAGGACACGAGCCAGCAAAGAGAUUUGGACCCUGUUGGUUCCAGGACUCACUGAUUCACUGUACUUAAGAAGAGGAAAGUCAACUGAGUGAAAGCAAAGAGUCAUCAUCUGAUUGAGUCUAGCAGUACAUGAUGUCUCCAGACAUGUCUAAGGUUGUUAGAGGUGAUACCAUCUGGUUGAAGCUGAUAGCCAACAAAGCAGGAGCAGACGUAACUGGAUCCUGUGUCUCUGCACUGCUGAGAGCAGGGACCACCACCUAAUGGAUAUGUUAAAAGGUGAUGCACCUCGAACAGAAACAAGUUUAAUUUCAUAUUCAAUCACCCUGAUAAUCAAGCACCAAGAAAGAAUAAAAGAUGC